rnacentral:rRNA from 1 species
GACGAACGCUGGCGGCGCGCUUAACACAUGCAAGUCGAGCGAUGAAAUCUUAACAGAACCCUUCGGGGUGAAGAUAAGACGGAUUAGCGGCGGACGGGUGAGUAACACGUGAGUAACCUGCCUUUUACACAGGGAUAGCCUCAGGAAACCGGGAUUAAAACCUGAUGAAACUAUCAAAUCACAUGAUUAAGAAAGUUAAAACUCCGGUGGUAAAAGAUGGACUCGCGUCCCAUUAGCUAGUUGGUGAAGGUAACGGCCCACCAAGGCAACGAUGGGUAGCCGGCCUGAGGGGGGGAACGGCCACCUUGGAACUGGGAAACGGUCCAAACUCCCACGGGAGGCAGCAGUGGGGAAUAUUGCACAAUGGGGGAAACCCUGAUGCAGCGACGCCGCGUGAGCGAGGAAGGCCUUCGGGUCGUAAAGCCCUUUUAUAUGGGAAGAUAAUGACGGUACCAUAAGAAAAAGCCCCGGCUAACUACGUG